rnacentral:rRNA from 1 species
AGUGGCGCAAGGGUGCGUAACACGUGGGUAAUUUGCCGCGAAGACGGGGAUAACUUGCUGAAAGGCGAGCUAAUACCGGAUAAGAUCACCUGAUGGCAUCGUUGGGUGAUGAAAGUUGGGGACCGCAAGGCCUGACACUUCGCGAUAAGCCCGCGGCCUAUCAGCUAGUUGGUGAGGUAACGGCUCACCAAGGCGAAGACGGGUAGCUGGUCUGAGAGGACGACCAGCCACACUGGAACUGAGACACGGUCCAGACACCUACGGGUGGCAGCAGUCGAGAAUUUUUCUCAAUGGGGGAAACCCUGAAGGAGCGACGCCGCGUGGGGGAUGAAGGGCUUCGGCCUGUAAACCCCUGUCAUCUGGGAACAAACCUUGGCAUUGAACAGGUGCCAAGCUGAUAGUACUGGAAGAGGAAGGGACGGCUAACUCUGUGCCAGCAGCCGCGGUAAUACAGAGGUCCCAAGCGUUGUUCGGAUUCACUGGGCGUAAAGGGUGCGUAGGCGGUCGUAUCAGUCUGAUGUGAAAGCUCGGAGCUUAACUCCGAAAUGGCAUUGGAUACUGUAUGGCUAGAGGAUUGGAGGGGGGACUGGAAUUCUCGGUGUAGCAGUGAAAUGCGUAGAUAUCGAGAGGAACACCAGUGGCGAAGGCGAGUCCCUGGACAACACCUGACGCUGAGGCACGAAAGCUAGGGGAGCAAACAGGAUUAGAUACCCUGGUAGUCCUAGCUGUAAACGGUGCUGGCUUGC